CUUUUUUUUUUUUUUUUUUUAAUAUUUGUCCAUAAAAUAUUUUUACCUCAUAUUCCUUGUUCUAGGAUUAUUAUUUUCAGAUUGCCCUAUAUUUAAUGUAGAAUACAUAGUUUUAUCAGAUCCUAAACUUCUUUUUAUUUUCUCAUGAGUUCAAAACUAUCAUUGUAACUAUUGUAAUUAUAUAUAUGUAGAUUAUGUAGAUGUGAAUGUCUCUAUUAAUGAGUUCAAUUCAUAUAUCUUUGACUUUCUCUAUAAUUUUGUUGAUUCAUGUUAAAAAAAAAAGGAAAUUCUCAAUUUCCAUUCUUGUGGAUCAAUAAAAAAAACACUUUCAAAUAGAUUUGAUAUAUAUGUACAUUUUGUCAUGUGAUUAUAAAUAUUCUUAAACUAGACAAUGACUACAUUUCUGUGACUGUGCUAGAUCAUAUAAUUGACUAAUUAUUUUUAUGAAGCUUUUAUCAACUCACUCUGCCUGUCUGGUAAAUAGUUUGAACAUAUUUUUUCUCUCAUUUCCCAUUCUUGGAUCAAGGUGAAACUUUGCACAAUUAUUCAUUUUAUCUGACAAGACAUGAAUCAAUAAAAAAAAUUUAACCAAUUAGUUCAUUAAUUAUUGGUGAUAAAUUAUUUUUUUUUAUAUCAAUAUAAUGAAAAAAAAACUGCUACUUAAUGAGAGAUGUGUACAGGAUGUACAUAUGGAUUUAAUCCCAUUGUUAUGUUUUGAUAUGUUUCUCUCUUGAUUCCUAUUCUCGGAUCAAUUUGAAAUUUAGCAUACUUAUUCAUAGUUGAUGACAAUACAGAAUUCAAUCUAAAAAUUUAACAAUUAGUUAAUCUAUUGGUACUAAUUAAUUAAUUUUGUUUUAUAUGGAAGAAAAGUACCUCAACCCUGCUAUUUUCAGAUAAAAGGCAGUAAUUAGCUGUGCUUUUCCUUAGAUAACCUUUGUUUAAAAAUAAUCUUUUCUUUUGGUUGUUAGUCUUGAAUUUACCAUUUCGAACUUGUGUUAAAACAUUUUUUCCCCUGAAAUAGGUUAAUAAUUUGUGUAGUGUCAAUAACACAAUAUCUUUAAAUUUAAUCUGACAAACUAUUCAUGCAUGCACAUUCAAACAUUUUGCAAAAUAUUGUCUAAACAUUUGAUGUUUUUGUAAUUUCUACAUUUGUUAAUUAUUUUCAAUAAAAAAAUGAUGAUAAAAUAUUCCUAGAAAUCCAUCUA